rnacentral:rRNA from 1 species
UACAGAGGUCUCAAGCGUUGUUCGGAUUCAUUGGGCGUAAAGGGUGCGUAGGCGGCGCGGUAAGUCGGGUGUGAAAUCUUGGAGCUUUAACUCCGAAACUGCAUUCGAUACUGCCGUGCUUGAGGACUGGAGAGGAGACUGGAAUUUACGGUGUAGCGGUGAAAUGCGUAGAUAUCGUAAGGAAGACCAGUGGCGAAGGCGGGUCUCUGGACAGUUCCUGACACUGAGGCACGAAGGCCCAGGGGGAGCAAAACGGGG